AUACCGACGUUAAUACUAGUUAAUCUUAAGUGCAGUUCAAACACGGUGCUCCUUGCGACUACGUGCCUGACUGGUAAUAUCUAGUAUAAUAAUAUUUAGUUUUUUAAAUAAUAAAAUAUGUAACAGUUUAAAAACGACCUAUUACACUGCACGGCCACGCCAGUGGAAUGAGCACCUUUGAACCAGGACUAGGUACGGGCUAAGAAACUCGAUUAUGUUAAAACUUAGAACAGUGCAAAGCAUAGCAUGGUGGUGUAUCCAUGCUAGGAUAAGUGAGUCUUGUUACUGAAGUAGAACAAGUAUUUUUAGCGCGUUUCCCAGAAUAAUAUGUUUUCUAACAAGAAGUUUGAACAAUCUUAUCACGAACAAUUCUUAUCAACGUGUUUAUAAUAGUUUAAUAGCCGUCAUCGUUUCCUUAUACAAGGCUCCGUGUGAUAAGCGGCUGCACUUCAGCGCGCCCAGCCCAGCCAAGGACCGCGCAGGCGUAAUGUCACACAUUAUUCUUGUGAUUGCAAUCCCCGAGGCUUGCCAAGUACCUCGGUGAGGUUAGUUAUAGAAGAGAGCCGUUGUAGCGAACUCCUCCGCUGGGUGGUGACAAGCUUGCGCACUACGUUUAUAGGCCUCCGCAGCCCUAGCAACGACGGCGUUGAGGAUUCCGACGGCGUCCCGUCUUCCUCCUCCUGAAUCGACGGAACCUUGAAACCAAACAAUCCGAUGGAACACAAAGAGGACAAGAGCCAUUGACCGGAUGAGAGCCCUCAGCGCUCCCUAUAGUCCGGCCAAGUAGUUAAUGCCAUCAGAGGCAAAUCUACAGUAAGUCACGCGUUAAAAAGAAAAAUAGCCAAUGGUGGGUAAUUUCCAACUAGUCAAAUCAGUUACUUUUUACUAAACGUCAAAACACGAAAUUACUAUGGGAUUUGUAUGAAAAUCCAACUAACCAAACUAAACCAAAUAUGAAGCAACCUGUGACGUCAUAGAGAAACGUGACAAAAUGUCGCACUUAUUAUUACAUUUUUCUUUAUUACAAUUCAUAAAUAACUUAUAUAGAAAAAAGAAAACGUUUUGUUGUCACUUUUAGAUCUGUGUUUAUUUAGUAAACAGAAGUUCAUAAUUAAUCUUUCACUUAGGAAACUACCCAAUUGGAGGUGUGUUAUCCAUAUCCAAUCUACCAAGGCCUUUAUGCCUGUCAACAACUUGGUACUACUUAUACUCUACAAUUACUAGUAUAUUAUCCAAACACUGUAAACAAAUAGACUCACAUUAGCUAAGGAGUUUUUCUAAAAAAGCAUCCCAAUUGUGGUUGUAUAGAUAGUAUAAGUUUGUUCCCUCAAAUUAAGAUUUUAUGGCUGUUCAAAUAAAGUUGUAGUGUCGUUACACGCCGUCGCUUGUGACAAGGUGUGCCGCGGACACCUUUUUACAGAGAUUGGUUGUCUAUUUGUUAUAUGAAUAAUGCAUAUAAAUAAUAUCUGGUCGAUUUGAGAAAAAACCGGUAAAAAAAUUGCAUAUUUCUGAAAUUUUUAGAAAGUAGUCGAUUUGGGAAGUAGACAUUUUGGGAGUUGUCCUUUCGGGAAGUAGACUUUUUGGGAAAGUGGACGAUUUGGGAGAGUGGUCAUUUUGGGAGUUGCCGUUUUGAGAAGUAGACGAUUUGGGACAGUGGUCCUUUUAGGAAGUAAACCUUUUGGACCGAAAGGGGUCAAUGGUAUUAUUACACAAUAUACAGUAUGUUAUAUUUACAUUAACUCUGUGUGCGUAUUAUUAAAAUAAU